UACAGAGGUCUCAAGCGUUUGUUCGGAUUCAUUGGGCGUAAAGCGCACGUAGGCGGUUCGUUAUGUCGGAUGUGAAAGCCCUUGGCUUAACCGAGGAAGUGCAUCCGAAACUGGCGAGCUAGAGUACUAAAGAGGAUCGCGGAAUUCCCGGUGUAGAGGUGAAAUUCGUAGAUAUCGGGAGGAACACCGGUGGCGAAGGCGGCGAUCUGGGUAGAUACUGACGCUGAGGUGCGAAAGCGUGGGGAGCAAACAGG
rnacentral:rRNA from 1 species